AAUGAACGUUGCGGCGUGGAUUAGGCAUGCAAGUCGCGCGAGAAGUUUCCUUCGGGAGACGGACAGCGGCGGAAGGGAGAGGAAUAAGUAGAAAUCUGCCCUCGGGACGGGGAUAGCGGCGGGAAACUGCCGGUAAUACCCGAUAACAUCUUUGGAUCAAAUGGUGUGAUUCCGCCUGAGGAUGAGUCUACUUCCUAUUAGCUAGUUGGUGUGGUAAUGGCUCACCAAGGCAACGAUGGGUAAGCGGGUGUGAGAGCACGAUCCGCCUCACUGGGACUGAGACACUGCCCAGACACCUACGGGUGGCUGCAGUCGAGAAUCUUCGGCAAUGGGGGAAACCCUGACCGAGCGACGCCGCGUGCGGGAUGAAGGCCCUCGGGUUGUAAACCGCUGUCGUAAGGGAACAAAUCUAAGAGGGUACUCCCUUUAGUUGAGUGAUCUUAGGAGGAAGGACGGGCUAAGUUCGUG
rnacentral:rRNA from 1 species